UGCGAAAACAUAAAGACGAUAUGCAAGUCAAUGUGGCAGGUUUACGUCGCAAUAUUAAAAAUUUAGCUCACAAUUACUCUGAUGCUCAGGUUAAAGUACGUGAGGCUACUUCAAAUGAUCCAUGGGGUCCCUCAGCCACUAUAAUGGCGGAAAUCGCCGAAUUAACCAACAAUGUGGUGGCCUUUUCUGAAAUAAUGCAAAUGAUUUGGAAACGUCUUAAUGAUCAUGGCAAAAAUUGGCGUCAUGUCUAUAAGGCUCUCAUACUGUUGGAAUAUCUUAUAAAAACUGGCAAUGAAAAAGUCUCCCAACAGUGCAAAGAAAAUAUAUUUGCCAUACAAACACUACGUGAAUUUACGUAUUUUGAGGAGGGCAAAGAUCAAGGUACUCAUGUAAGGGAAAAGGCUAAACAAUUGGUGAAUCUUUUGAAGGAUGAUGAACGCUUAAAGAAUGAACGUGUUAAAGCUUUGAAGGCCAAGGAACGUUUUGCUCAAUAUCCAAGUGGUUUUGGUAGUGAUGGUUAUAUUGAUGGUCCUUUGCAACGUGAUUUACGUGAUAUGCCUCCCGGCUGGCAAGAGGAACCAGCCAAACCUGUAUCCGAGCUGGAAAUGGUACGUCCACAAACUGCGGGCGAAGAAGAAUUACAACUACAAUUGGCCAUGGCCAUGUCACGCGAAGAAGCUGAACAGGAAGAGGCUAAACGCCGCAGUGAUGAUGUUCGUCUACAGUUGGCUUUAAGUCAAAGUGAACAAGAUUUUAAGGUGCAAAAACAACACGACGAAGAGCCACAAUCACAUUUAUUGGAUCUUUUGGAUAUACAACUGGGAGCCACUAGCAUUUCCAGUCCACCUUUAGGUUUAGCCGCUGGCGGCUUAACCAACAAUCCAUCAGAUCCUUGGGGUACACCAGCACGAGCGGCUAGUCAAAUGUCUGAUCCUUGGACUGGUACAGCUUCACCACCGGUUGAUCCCUGGCAACCAACUGCAGCAUCACGUUCCACUCCCCUGGCACAAAUGGGAGCCGUAGGCGGCUUAGGCGCCCUCACAAUGGCUACCAAUGGCACUAAUGGCGGUGAAGCUUGGGGUGGUUUGCGUACACAAUCACCUUCGGUUACAUCGGGUUCCUCCGCCGAAGGCUGGCUACAAACUAAUGGUAAUACUCAAAAUUCCACAAAUUUAACAGGCGCUAUAGGAGGUGCUGGCGCAUCGAUCGAUCCUUGGCUUUCAAAACAAUCAGUUAGUGCGCUGGCAGCGCCUGUCUCUAAUUCAGCACCCUUAGAUCCAUGGUUAUCAGAAAAUGCUAAACCACCCACUGCAGCUGCUGUUCCUUCAACAACUAAACCAUUGAUUGAUGAUCCUUGGGCACCAAAGACAUUAACAGCUGGCAAUGAUGAUCCCUGGAAGAAUAUUGAGAAUACAACAGUAGCUAAGAAACCUUCACCUGAUAUGGACGAAUUUGAUAUAAUAACGAAUCGUAAUAAGACUGGUGAUUUAUUAACAACUAAUGAUUCCACAACAAAUAUCAGUAAUAAUAAUGCUCUACUACUUGAUGAUUUAGAUCCUCUAUCCUCGUCAACGUCAACCACAACAAAUUCGACUGGAGCAACAGCUAAGAAACCGCUUAAAGAUCCACAAUCAUUUUUGGGUGAAAAUUCUGGUUUGGUUAAUUUAGAUAAUUUAAUAAAGCCUGCCGUACCACAAACUACAGCAACAAAUGCCGCAGCUUAUAAUCCAUUUAGUGAUACAGUUAUACCACCAAAAACAAAUCUAUUCCAACAACAGCAACCAGCAGUGCCGUCCAUAAAUCAAUUAAAACAACAAAGUUUUCAAAUGACCAUCAAUCAAGAUCCUUGGGCACCUAUUAAUAAUACAAAUGUAGCAGCUUCUCAGGCAAUAACAAUGCGACCAACAAAUCUUAUGGUCCCAACUAUAGUCAUGCCCUAUCGGCAUCCUUGGCUUCCACUCCUGGAGUAACUAUAAUGCCACUGAAUAAUAAAUCAAGCUCAGCUUCAAAUCUAUUCAAUUAUGGCUUUUAUAAUUCAAAUAAUGAAUUCAAUACUACUAAUCAAUAUCAAUUGGAAAACAACAAUAACAUGCCUUGGAUGAAACCGGAAGCAACAGCAUCGAAUCCAUUUUUGUCAUAAACAAUAUAACAAAAGAAGCGAUAAAUUCAAAAAAAAAAAAAAAAAUAUUUAUAUAAUUUUGUUUAUUAUUUUUUUCUAUAAAUUAAGUCGAUAAAUUAUAUAUAAUUUUUCCUAGUUGAACAAAUUAAUUACAACAAGUAAACAAAAAUCAACAUGUUUUAAAUUUUUGGAAAAUAAUUUAUACACACUUAUACACACACAUAAAUGCCUAUAAAUAAAUUAUUUAAAAAAAAUAAGAAAAACGAUAAAAGAUAAAAAAGAAACACAAAAAUUAAUUCAAUAAUAUUUUUUAUGUAAAUGUAGAUUAAAACAAGGAUGAUGAGAUGAUGAUAAGAAAAAAAAAAACGAUUAUAAAU
rnacentral:misc_RNA from 1 species